CUCCACUAAUUCUUGUAUUCUCCUGAAGUACAUAGACAUGGAGAUGAUUAGAAGGUCUAGAAUCUGCAAUAUAGGAAUUUGUAGAAUCAAUCGCUAAACAAGAAUCAAUAACAUAAAACUUACAUACACUCUGCCUUUUUGGUUAGUGCAUCUAAACAAUCUUUCUUCCAGUAUCCUUUGCAAUCGCAAUUGAAAUACUUGCCUCUUGGCAUUCAUAUGCUUUGAAC
rnacentral:lncRNA from 1 species